GUUACAGUGCGGGUGUCUGUGACGUCAUCGGUGUGCAGGCAGUGCUGACUUGUAGUGGUGAGUGUAGUGCGUGCUGCGUGGAUACUGGUUAGGAAGAUGAGAAAGCCUGAGCCGCUGCUAACCUCGUGAGGCACAUUCUCCUCAAUCGACAACAUGCCUGCCCGCUCAACCCUGACAGAUGCUCUAUUGACGUCAGUUGCUCUGUUGCCUGUUAUCCUGGGGUUCACCACGACCCCGUCACCCACACCCUCACCCUGUAA